rnacentral:rRNA from 1 species
UACGUAGGGGGCAAGCGUUGUCCGGAUUUAUUGGGCGUAAAGAGCGUGUAGGCGGCUUGGUAGGUCCGCUGUGAAAACUCGAGGCUCAACCUCGAGAUGUCGGCGGAAACCACUUGGCUAGAGUCCGGAAGAGGAGAGUGGAACUGCGAGUGUAGAGGUGAAAUUCGUAGAUAUUCGCAAGAACACCAGUGGCGAAGGCGGCUCACUGGCCCGAUACUGACGCUGAGGCACGAAAGCGUGGGGAGCAAACAGG